rnacentral:tRNA from 1 species
GGGCCGGUCGUCUAGCCCGGUAGGACGCCGCCCUGACGCGGCGGAGGUCCCCGGUUCAAAUCCGGGCCGGCCCACCA